AAAAAUAAAAACUGAUCUUUAGUCCAGUCAAUCAAAACUGUUGGACAUCACUAGCCUUUGUCCUUUCAAAUCCACCGUCUAGCCUUUAUGAUAGCAUUUUCCAAUGAAAUCUUUUAAUAUCUGCUAUCAAUAUCUUUUAACAUCUUCUUGAAUCUUCUUCGUCUGACUCCCUUGAUCUUCAUCUUGCCCUUUUUUGAAUAGCAUCCCUUAGAUGCAGUCCCAACAAUUGUCCUUCUUCUUUCCUUAGCAUUUUUUUUUUCAAAAACUGGGUAGUCUUGAAUCUCCUUUAUCUUGUUCUCUUGGCCUCCGUCGCUCCCUCUCCUGAGGAAUACUCCUUGGAUGCAACCCCCGCAAGUAAUGUCCUUCUCCUCUUUGCAUCUCUUCUUUAGCAACAAGAUGGGCAGUCUCAUUUUCUAUUUUAGGAAUGAAAUGAAACCCGAUAUUUUGAAAGAAAUUUUUUUUCUAUGGAUAUAUCUGACUAUCGCCCCUAUAAUCGAUUUAUCUUGGUUUGUGGUCUAAAAUUUCUUAAUCACUGUUCUUGAGUCUCCUUUUAUAUCCAGAGUAUUUAAUCCUAUUGUAAUCCCUAACUGAAUUGCCUGUAAUCCUGCAUGUGCCUCUGCUGCAAAUGGCGAUGAAAUGUCGGAAUGAAUAACUGACUUAGAGGCCAUGAUAUCCCCCCUUCGUAUCACAAACAACCAAACCCGAAGCAGAUCUCGAAGUUCUCUUGUCGAAAGCCGCAUCAAAAUAAACUGUCACCCUCGUGCUUCUUUCCAUCUGCUUAUGUCCUCUAUCAAUGUUGGUAAGAAAUCUUUUUUCCUCCACUCCAUUUAACUUUGCUAUAAAACUGAUGACUUAUUUAGAAAUAUCCCUGCCUGUUGUAAUCUCUCUCAUAGAUGAAUUUAUUUCUAUGAUUCUAGAUUGACCAUAACCCACAGCAAAAAAAGGCGACACUGGUCUUUGUUCCCCAGCCUGAAAACCCAUAUAAGCCACUCCCACAAGCUUUGAGUGCUGUUAUUGGAUACCCAUGCAAGAUCUAAACUUGACCAUACUUCUGUUGUUGUAGCACAGUACCUGAAAACGUGGUUGCUAUCCUCAGCGGAGGUGUGACAUCGGGGACAAAGAGUUUCCACUGCGAAUUUUUUACUCUUUAGAUUAGAUAGAAUAGAAAUAUAAUUCCAAGAAAUUCUCCAAAUUGUAAUUUUAAUUUUUGGAGGGAUUUGUAAAUUCCAUAAUUUUCUGUAGAAGUUUCUAUUCUUGGUUUGUAUAAAAUUAUUACUAGGACCCGAAUUAGUCUUUUGUAAUAGUUUAUAGGAACUUCUGACUGAAUACUUUCCUGACGAUUCUCCUCUCCAUGCUUGGAAGUCCUCGUAGAUUGUCUCUGCCAAGGGAAUCUACAGAAUUUUUUUGGCGUUAUCCUCAUUGAAGGUACUUAAAACUAAAUUUGUAUUCCACUUUCGGUUAUUAGCAUUAAUCAAAUAUGAUACUAACUUAAUAUUCUCAUUGACGGUUUCAUUCUGCAAUCUAUCAUUUUCAACUCCCAAAAUCCAUAUGUCAUCCCAAACAG
rnacentral:lncRNA from 1 species